UGGGGAAUUUUGGACAAUGGGGGCAACCCUGAUCCAGCCAUUCCGCGUGAGUGAAGAAGGCCUUCGGGUUGUAAAGCUCUUUCGGCAGGAACGAAACGGUCUCACCUAAUACGUGGGGCUAAUGACGGUACCUGAAGAAGAAGCACCGGCUAACUACGUGCCAGCAGCCGCGGUAAUACGUAGGGUGCGAGCGUUAAUCGGAAUUACUGGGCGUAAAGCGUGCGCAGGCGGCUCCAUAAGACAGAUGUGAAAUCCCCGGGCUUAACCUGGGAACUGCGUUUGUGACUGUGGGGCUAGAGUGCGGCAGAGGGGGGUGGAAUUCCACGUGUAGCAGUGAAAUGCGUAGAGAUGUGGAGGAACACCGAUGGCGAAGGCAGCCCCCUGGGUCGACACUGACGCUCAUGCACGAAAGCGUGGGGAGCAAACAGG
rnacentral:rRNA from 1 species